UACGUAGGGGGCAAGCGUUGUCCGGAAUCAUUGGGCGUAAAGAGCGUGUAGGCGGCCAGAAAAGUCCGCUGUGAAAACUCGAGGCUCAACUUCGAGCUGUCGGUGGAAACUUUCUGGCUAGAGUCCGGAAGAGGAGAAUGGAAUUCCUGGUGUAGCGGUGAAAUGCGCAGAUAUCAGGAAGAACACCCGUGGCGAAAGCGGCUCUCUGGAACGGUACUGACGCUGAGACGCGAAAGCGUGGGGAGCGAACAGG
rnacentral:rRNA from 1 species